AGAGUUUGAUCCUGGCUCAGGAUGAACGCUGGCGGCGUGCCUAAUACAUGCAAGUCGAGCGAGAUGUUAGCGCAUGAACCUUCGGGGGAUUAUGCUAACGGACAGCGGCGGACGGGUGAGUAACGCGUAGGCAACCUGCCCCUGACAGAGGGAUAGCCAUUGGAAACGAUGAUUAAAACCUCAUGACACCGUAGAAGCACAUGCUUCAUCGGUCAAAGAUUUAUCGGUCAGGGAUGGGCCUGCGUCUGAUUAACUAGUUGGUGAGGUAACGGCUCACCAAGGUGACGAUCAGUAGCCGACCUGAGAGGGUGAUCGGCCACAUUGGAACUGAGACACGGUCCAAACUUCUACGGAAGGCAGCAGUAGGGAAUCUUGCACAAUGGGCGAAAGCCUGAUGCAGCAACGCCGCGUGAAGGAUGAAGGCCUUCGGGUUGUAAACUUCUGUUCUAAGGGAAGAAACAAAUGACGGUACCUUAGGAGCAAGCCCCGGCUAACUACGUGCCAGCAGCCGCGGUAAUACGUAGGGGGCAAGCGUUAUCCGGAAUUAUUGGGCGUAAAGAGUGCGUAGGUGGUUACCUAAGCGCAAGGUUUAAUUUAGAGGCUCAACCUCUACUUGCCUUGCGAACUGGGCUACUUGAGUGCAGGAGGGGAAAGCGGAAUUCCUAGUGUAGCGGUGAAAUGCGUAGAUAUUAGGAGGAACACCAGCGGCGAAGGCGGCUUUCUGGACUGUAACUGUCACUGAGGCACGAAAGCGUGGGUAGCAAACAGGAUUAGAUACCCUGGUAGUCCACGCCGUAAACGAUGAGCACUAGGUGUUGGGCCCGUUAGGGCUCAGUGCCGCAGUUAACGCAAUAAGUGCUCCGCCUGGGGAGUACGCUCGCAGAGUAAAACUCAAAGGAAUUGACGGGGACUCGCACAAGCAGCGGAGCAUGUGGUUUAUUCGAAGCAACGCGUAGAUCCUUACCAGGGCUGACAUCCUGCUGACAGGACCUUACCGGUCCCUUCUUCGACAGCAAGAGACAGGUGAUGCAUGCUUGUCGUCAGCUCCGU
rnacentral:rRNA from 1 species